rnacentral:rRNA from 1 species
UAACGCGUGAGGAACCUGCCUUUCGGAGGGGGACAACAGUUGGAAACGACUGCUAAUACCGCAUGAUACAUCGAAGCCGCAUGGCUUUGAUGUCAAAGAUUUAUCGCCGAAAGAUGGCCUCGCGUCUGAUUAGCUUGUUGGUGAGGUAACGGCUCGCCAAGGCGACGAUCAGUAGCCGGACUGAGAGGUUGGCCGGCCACAUUGGGACUGAGAUACGGCCCAGACUCCUACGGGAGGCAGCAG